rnacentral:rRNA from 1 species
UACGUAGGGGGCAAGCGUUAUCCGGAUUUACUGGGUGUAAAGGGAGCGUAGGUGGCAUGAUAAGUCAGAUGUGAAAGCCCGGGGCUCAACCCCGGGACUGCAUUUGAAACUAUCAGGCUGGAGUGCAGGAGAGGCAAGUGGAAUUCCUAGUGUAGCGGUGAAAUGCGUAGAUAUUAGGAGGAACACCAGUGGCGAAGGCGGCUUGCUGGACUGUAACUGACACUGAGGCUCGAAAGCGUGGGGAGCAAACAGGAUUAGAUACC